ACUAAAAACUGAAAAAAAAGAAAAUGAGGGAAAGAAAAAAAGAAAGAGGGCGUAGUAUGCAGAAAACAAAAAUUCGACAAUGAUGGAAGGUGUAAAUAGGAUGGAUAUCUGUAAAGAAAGGAAGAGGAAAAAUAGAUCAAAACCUGAAUCGAGCUAAGAACUUAUGUUACAAGAGGGAAUUUUAAUUUUAGAAUAAAAAUUUACACAUUAGUAUACCCAACUGGUUUUCGGAACCUAAAUAUUUUGUUUGGCCAUUUUGUCCCAGUUUAACCAUAAGAUUAAAUAUGACUUAUUA